rnacentral:rRNA from 1 species
AUUAAGCAUAUCAAUAAGCGGAGGAAAAGAAACCAACCGGGAUUGCCUCAGUAACGGCGAGUGAAGCGGCAAAAGCUCAAAUUUGGAAUCUGGCGCCCUCGGCGUCCGAGUUGUAAUUUGAAGACUCUAUCUUGGGAGGCGGCGCUGUCGAAGUUCCUUGGAACAGGACGUCACAGAGGGUGAGAAUCCCGUGCGAUGGCAGCCGCGGACCAUGUAAGUUAGUGUCGACGAGUCGAGUUGUUUGGGAAUGCAGCUCUAAGUGGGUGGUAAACUCCAUCUAAAGCUAAAUAUUGGCGAGAGACCGAUAGCGAACAAGUACAGUGAUGGAAAGAUGAAAAGAACUUUGAAAAGAGAGUGAAAAAGUACGUGAAAUUGUUGAAAGGGAAGGGCUUGAGAUCAGACAUGCCUUCGGGCAGGCCAGCAUCAGCUGGAAGGGGCAGACAAGGGCGCCGCAAUGUGGCCUGGCUUCGGCGAGGUGUUAUAGGCGGCGUCGAUGUGUCCACUUCCGGCUGAGGACCGCGCUUCGGCAAGGAUGCUGGCGUAAUGAUCCCCAGCCGCCCGUU